rnacentral:lncRNA from 1 species
AAUCGUCGGGGAGUGUUGUAACAGAAUCAUUGUUUCACAACCAUGGAUUAAACAAAUUUCGUUUUAUUGAAUUAAAUGAGUUACAAUGUCUUAACAAUAAAGAAACAUAACAAAAUUAACUAGUCUUGCAUCUUUUAAUGUCACUAAGGCCUCGUCCAAUCCUAUGUGAGCAGACAUCAAUAUCAUCAUCAAAUAUCAUCAACUAUUAUUCAUGGCUCGUUUUACAUGUUGCAAUGCUUAUUUAAAAACCUUAUUUUGAAAAGUACAGCAUUGCGACAUAAUUAACCAACUCAAAUCAAGUUGAUUAUAAUUUAUAAAAUUUCAUAGCCAUGCUUCUUAACUCCAAAGACUUUAUUUAAUUAAACCCAGAUUGGAAAUCAUUUUUGAAAUAAAAACUCUAAUAGUAUAUAUA